UGUAAGGUGUAGGCAGGAUGAAAGGAGCCAGAAACGCCUGGAGUUAAUAAGGCGCCUGGAGACUCACGAUUGCUGGAAGCUGUUUGCAUCCCUGUGCCUCAAGGGACAGGAGAGCCUGAUGCUUCAAUGGAGAGGCGGGGCCAGCCAACACCUCAUGACACGUCCCUCACACCUUCUAGUCUCCUGCUGUGCCUCCCACUGGGUGAACCAACUAGAAACCUGGGGGUAAAGAGCUCAGCAGGGGCAGGAAAGGGCAGAGAAUGCAUGUAUGGGGAGAGGAGAACAAACAGAAAAGCCGCCAUCUUGGAGGAAGGAGGAAGCAAAACAGGGAGGCAGUGAGGAAACUGUAGCUAAGGCGGCAGACUUUUCUCUGGGUCCCAGGAGAGGGAUGAGGGAAGAACAGUGGUGUCGAUCAAGGGAGCGUUCUAGACAAAAGAGACCUGGGCAUGCUUUACGCUGAGACUCAGUUCACCUACACCACACCACUGGUGUCAUGGCGAUGGGUUAAUCCUGGCUCACAACACGUUGAAAAGUCUCUGCCAUUUCAGGUGCCCCAGAAGAUACCAAGGAUGCGGUGAAUGGGGCAACACAUUCACAACUCAACAACACUGCGAGUUCCUGUUGGCUCCAACUAUCCAUCUGUCACACAAGAGAAGGAUAAUCUUUUAAGAAGAGGAAGACUUUCAGUCACAGUAACACAAAGGCUACUGUAUUGCAUCCCUGGCUCCCUGGAGGCUGGCUGGAUCCGGUUCAAAUAAUUUCUUUCCGGAGUUGCUGUUGCCAGGAGGAUUCAGAACAGCAAACAGUGGUGGUCAAUCUAGGUGAAGCUGCCUGUGUCUUUCAACCUUCCUUCCUGGGCAUUUCGGGGAAAUCAGCAUCUGACUUUCCAGCAACAGCCCGCUGUGGGCCACCAAUGUGUUGUGUUCGUUUUAAAGGGUUAGCCACCGUCUGCAACAUCACUCAUCAGCGUCGCUAAAAAGGAAGGCUUCUCUUCCUUGCAGUUGGAACGGUGUGCAAUGAGCCUCUGAAAAGGCCGGCAGAAUCUGGAUCACCAGUGGGCAGUUAACUAAAAGAGACAGCACAGGCUGCUGCAUUCAGCCUGAGUGAAAAUGCUCAGAAGAGAGGAAAAAGAUAAAUGAUCUUAGAGGCUUAAAUGAACUUUGCCAGGAAAAGGAGGAGUUGGGCUUCCAGAGUUCAUCCUGCUCGGUGGUUCAUCAUCAAAGUCAGGGCCACAAAGUAAAGCCGUGCAGGUUGUGCACUGCACAGAACCCUCCACCCCUGCCUGCUCCCCUUCCUGCCAAGGGGGCAACAACAGCUGAAAUCCAGUAUGCUUUCCACUUGCCAAGCCAUGUUCCCUGGGAACUGCACCACCCAGAGGAGGCAGGACGGGUCUAUUUUUGAUUCUCACAAAAAAGCCGUGUAUGCUUAUGGCCACCUUGGCCAAAUUCAUUCUAGCUGCUACUGAUGCAUUUACUCCUCAGAUCUUGCCUGAAAUAGCACUGAAUUAUAAUCAGAGCAUGAGUGGGAGAAAUUCAGAAAAGACGAUAAUAGUAAUGACAAACAACAACAGUCCCUCAUUUGGGUUUAGCCUUUAACACUUUAAAAAGUGCUUUGCCACACAGGAUCGCAUUCAGUCUUCAGAACGACACUGGAGUCAAGCCACAGGAAGGUGUUCUUCCCCACUGAACAUCUGUGGACUGAGAUGAGGCUCAGAGAUCCAGGACUGAAAUCUCACUCCUUUGAUUUCACAUUCUCUGCUCUUUGCACAAUAUAACCCCCCCCAAAAACCUACACAUUUGGAAAAGCUUCUAGUUAUUGAGUUGGACAGACAGCACCAAUUUGCCAGUCUCCUGGGUGACAGAACAGUAAUUUUCCUCUGAGGAUCUGCUGCCAUUCUCAGUAGACAUUCUUCUUUCUAGGGAGAGACACGCAGCUCAGGCCCCACCCUUCGGGCCAUGGCACAGUGAUUGGUGCAGGAAUGGCCAUGUGAUCCACCAGAGCCAAUGAGAAGCAAGAAAGACCUUUGCCUUGCCUGACACAGGAAGGACACCCACCUGCUUUCCAUUGGUCUUGAGCAGGAAAGAAGGCAGAAGCACGGAAGCAAGAGGGACACCUUCAGCUGGAGAAGCUCCAACUCGGGCCCGAGCCAAGGGUGUGUCCGCAUGUGGCCUUGGCCGGAGACUAGACGCAGGCACAGGAAGUCCACUUGGGCAGCCUCAGGACUUUGAAGGUAAGGCAGCGAUUUAGUUCAAGGCAUAACCUAUUCUGUUAAAAGCAUUUUCAAAUGUUCCGCCGCCUCUGACUUUGGGGAGUGACAGUCUUCCAAGAAUCCAGAGCGAAACGUUAGAGGAAAGGAAACUACUUCUGAUAACGAGCUCAGGAAUAUUUGGUCAUUGCUUGACCCAGGGUUGGAGAUGAGUACUGUAUUGGGAACCAAGAAUUUGUUCUCUUUGCGUUCAGACUUUGUCUCUAACUAACGUCAAGGGUGUAAAGCGUUAUUAGUCACCGAAGGUAACUAUUAGGCGGGUACUGGCUUAGGGCUGUGGAACACAACUGAAAGGGUUUGACUUUAAUUUCUAGUCGGCACUUAUUAAAUACAUGCCAAUUGAUUGAUAAGAACUUACCAGAGAACGGACAAAGCACACCCUCAGUAGC